rnacentral:lncRNA from 10 species
CGUGGUAGGCGGAGUCCGGGGCGGAGGUGGCGUGGGGAGGUGGGGAACGGCCCGGGACUCGCACGUGGAGGUGGAGCGCGGACGCCUCCCUCAGCCAGGGCAAGACUAAGGAGCUGGGUAUUGCCAAAUAUCAGAUCAUAAAGGACAGGAAUUCUGAAGAGGAUAAAAUCGUAGACAGACCAUUACCAAAGGAGUUGGACUUGGAGGUGUCUAUCCCAAGCUCAUACCAGCUUCCUGGGGCAACCAAUGAGUGGUCUACACAGAAGUAUACUCUGUCAUUUCACUCCAAUUCAGAAGAACUCUGAAGGGCCAUCCCAACUUCAGAGCUUCCCAGGAGGCGAACAGUCAGCUUCAACAAGCAGCAGGUUUGAUCAACCAUUCUUCUCAGAGCAAGAAACCUACCAUACUGGACGUGAGGACACAAGAAGAAGGCAUCUGUUUACACACCAGGAGGAGAGACCUCACAAGAACCCAAUCAUGAUGGCACUUUGAUCUUAGACCGCCAGCCUCCAGAACAGUGAG